CGGAGGGUGCAAGCGUUAUCCGGAUUUACUGGGUUUAAAGGGUGCGUAGGUGGGUAAGUAAGUCAGUGGUGAAAUCUUCGAGCUUAACUCGGAAACUGCCAUUGAUACUAUUUAUCUUGAAUACUUUGGAGGUAAGCGGAAUAUGUCAUGUAGCGGUGAAAUGCUUAGAUAUGACAUAGAACACCAAUUGCGAAGGCAGCUUACUACACAGUUAUUGACACUGAGGCACGAAAGCGUGGGGAUCAAACAGGAUUAGAUACCCUGGUAGUCCACGCCCUAAACGAUGGAUACUCGACAUUAGCGAUACACAGUUAGUGUCUGAGCGAAAGCAUUAAGUAUCCCACCUGGGAAGUACGAUCGCAAGAUUG
rnacentral:rRNA from 1 species